rnacentral:rRNA from 1 species
CAAACCUGCCUUAAGGAUGGGGAUAACAGACGGAAACGACUGCUAAUACCGAAUACGUUCUAAGCAUCGCAUGAUGCAUAGAAGAAAGGGUGGCCUCUACAAGAAAGCUAUCGCCUUAAGAGGGGUUUGCGACUGAUUAGGUAGUUGGUGAGGUAACGGCUCACCAAGCCGACGAUCAGUAGCCGGUCUGAGAGGAUGAACGGCCACACUGGAACUGAGACACGGUCCAG